CCUACGGGUGGCAGCAGUGAGGAAUAUUGGUCAAUGGGCGCGAGCCUGAACCAGCCAAGUAGCGUGAAGGAUGACUGCCCUACGGGUUGUAAACUUCUUUUAUAAAGGAAUAAAGUGCGGCACGUGUGCCUUUUUGUAUGUACUUUAUGAAUAAGGAUCGGCUAACUCCGUGCCAGCAGCCGCGGUAAUACGGAGGAUCCGAGCGUGAUCCGGAUGUCGUGGGGUUAAAGGGAGCGUAGAUGGGUUGUUAGGUCAGUUGUGAAAGUGUGCGGCUCAACCGGAAAAUUGCAAUUGAUACUGGCAGCCUUGAGUGCAGUUGAGGUAGGCGGAAUUCGUGGUGUAGCGGUGAAAUGCUUAGAUAUCACGAAGAACUCCGAUUGCGAAGGCAGCCUACUAAACUGCAACUGACAUUGAUGCUCGAAAGUGUGGGUAUCAAACAGGAUUAGAUACCCCAGUAGUC
rnacentral:rRNA from 1 species